CACUGGAAAGAACCCGUUUAGGACUGAUGUUAACCCUAAGGGCGAAUGCAAAGUUGUGGUGACAAGUGAUAGAAGAAGGGCUGAAAGGGAAGUUGUAGAGAUUGGAAGCAGUGAUGAAAAGGAUGAAAGAGAAGUGUUGACAAAUUGACAAGUGUACCAAAUCGUACAAGUAAUAUAAAUGGUAAGACCAAGUAUCGUUUUCCCAAGAGACUCGAAUGGCUUUCUCUUUCGUGUGAAUUAAAAUAAUAAGACUUGAAAAUAAAAAUUAAUAAAUUGGAUUUGAGAACAAAAAUAUUAACGUGCAAAAUAAAGGUGAUUGAAUUGACAAACGAAAACAAUGGAUGAAUGGAUGUUGUUGGGGGUUUACAAUUUCAUCUAAUCCGCUCUCUCUUACCUACUACCCUUGAAUAUUAGUUUGAUUAAUUCAAUUGUUAUGCGACUUUCAUAGCCUCCCCUUAACCCGACCCCUCGGCGAAAAGGGCCUAAUAUUAACUAUUGGCUUGCUAUCCCUAGUCUCCCCUAGUAAUUAAUAUCGCAUUAUAAAUAGAAGUUAGCGAAAUUAAUCGUCCUACCCCUAUCCCUAGGUGGUAUUGCAAAAUCAAGAGGUUACUCACCAAUUCAUGUCAUUACUGUACGUCCCCAUAUCAAUAAAGACAAACAUCAGUUACCGAAUGAGUUAAACGAUAAAGGCCUUAAGCACAGAUGAUAAUCCAACAAUAAUAGAUCAAAACAUAUGGAGACCAUAUAAAUAAUCAAGAGUUUCGAUAAAAGAGAGUAUCAAAAGAUUACAUUGUUUCCCCCAACAACAAUAGGGUUUAGU
rnacentral:lncRNA from 1 species